UGUAACUAAGUGCCAUGAGCAGGCGGUUUUC
rnacentral:piRNA from 1 species